AGACCCGAAACCCGGUGAUCUAGCCAUGGGCAGGUUGAAGGUUGGGUAACACUAACUGGAGGACCGAACCGACUAAUGUUGAAAAAUUAGCGGAUGACCUGUGGCUGGGGGUGAAAGGCCAAUCAAACCGGGAGAUAGCUGGUUCUCCCCGAAAGCUAUUUAGGUAGCGCCUCGUGAAUUCAUCUCCGGGGGUAGAGCACUGUUUCGGCUAGGGGGCCAUCCCGGCUUACCAACCCGAUGCAAACUGCGAAUACCGGAGAAUGUUAUCACGGGAGACACACGGCGGGUGCUAACGUCCGUCGUGAAGAGGGAAACAACCCAGACCGCCAGCUAAGGUCCCAAAGUCAUGGUUAAGUGGGAAACGAUGUGGGAAGGCCCAGACAGCCAGGAUGUUGGCUUAGAAGCAGCCAUCAUUUAAAGAAAGCGUAAUAGCUCACUGGUCGAGUCGGCCUGCGCGGAAGAUGUAACGGGGCUAAACCAUGCACCGAAGCUGCGGCAGCGACGCUUAUGCGUUGUUGGGUAGGGGAGCGUUCUGUAAGCCUGUGAAGGUGUGUCGUGAGGCAUGCUGGAGGUAUCAGAAGUGCGAAUGCUGACAUAAGUAACGAUAAAGCGGGUGAAAAGCCCGCUCGCCGGAAGACCAAGGGUUCCUGUCCAACGUUAAUCGGGGCAGGGUGAGUCGACCCCUAAGGCGAGGCCGAAAGGCGUAGUCGAUGGGAAACGGGUUAAUAUUCCCGUACUUGGUGUUACUGCGAAGGGGGGACGGAGAAGGCUAUGUUGGCCGGGCGACGGUUGUCCCGGUUUAAGCGUGUAGGCUGGUUUUCCAGGCAAAUCCGGAAAAUCAAGGCUGAGGCGUGACGACGAGGCACUACGGUGCUGAAGCAACAAAUGCCCUGCUUCCAGGAAAAGCCUCUAAGCAUCAGGUAACACGAAAUCGUACCCCAAACCGACACAGGUGGUCAGGUAGAGAAUACCAAGGCGCUUGAGAGAACUCGGGUGAAGGAACUAGGCAAAAUGGUGCCGUAACUUCGGGAGAAGGCACGCUGAUAUGUAGGUGAAGCGGUUUACCCGUGGAGCUGAAAUCAGUCGAAGAUACCAGCUGGCUGCAACUGUUUAUUAAAAACACAGCACUGUGCAAACACGAAAGUGGACGUAUACGGUGUGACGCCUGCCCGGUGCCGGAAGGUUAAUUGAUGGGGUCAGCGCAAGCGAAGCUCCUGAUCGAAGCCCCGGUAAACGGCGGCCGUA
rnacentral:rRNA from 1 species